rnacentral:rRNA from 1 species
CCUACGGGAGGCUGCAGUGGGGAAUAUUGGACAAUGGGGGGAACCCUGAUCCAGCCAUGCCGCGUGUGUGAAGAAGGCCCUCGGGUUGUAAAGCACUUUCAGUGAGGAAGAACGCCUGGUGGUUAAUACCCAUCAGGAAAGACAUCACUCACAGAAGAAGCACCGGCUAACUCCGUGCCAGCAGCCGCGGUAAUACGGAGGGUGCGAGCGUUAAUCGGAAUUACUGGGCGUAAAGCGCGCGUAGGUGGCUUGAUAAGCCGGUUGUGAAAGCCCCGGGCUCAACCUGGGAACGGCAUCCGGAACUGUCAAGCUAGAGUGCAGGAGAGGAAGGUAGAAUUCCCGGUGGAGCGGUGAAAUGCGUAGAGAUCGGGAGGAAUACCAGUGGCGAAGGCGGCCUUCUGGACUGACACUGACACUGAGGUGCGAAAGCGUGGGUAGCAAACAGGAUUAGAUACCCCGGUAGUC